CACCCAAUGGAUUUAACCCUUUUGGUGGGUCAAUCAAUGUCCAUACAUCAUUGACCUUCAUAGACUCCAUUUCGAAUUUUAUGGCUUCAAGCCAUUUCUCAAAAUCAGGUAUCUGCAUUGCAUCCAUAUAGGUGAUCGGAUCCUCAUCGUUCUCAUCGAGUUCGAUGAGAUCACUGUUUCGAACCAAAAAACUAUAGUAUCUGUCUGACUAAUAUGGUACUCUAUC
rnacentral:lncRNA from 1 species